CUCGCUGUCGGAGGCUGGGUGUCGUUCUAUAGUGCAGAUUGUCUAAUUGAGUUUCUGAAAGCAUCGUCCACGUCUGCCACUUCAUGGGUCCGUACACUGGGAACUCACGCCUGAGAACUUCCUGCUCACCAGAUUUGAUUUCAGUUUCUCUGUCUCCAUCGAAGAAAGUCAGCACUUUGCCUCAAACAGUUUCAUGACUACACUCAUGACAUGAUUUACAGUACGGUAGUCUCAUGCGUUGAGCUCAGAACACUACAAUACGGACAUACAUUUUUCAAGCAUAAAUUAAUGCAGAAGUUAUUGCAACAGGAGGGCCUCUAAUUGUAAUUCAUAUACACAUUUCAGCUCAAUAACCAUAUAACACAUCUUGCCUGAGCUUGAUACUUCCGACUAUCUCCAUGUCUUUCAGGUCAAAGUUAGGUUAGCUCUAUAUACGAGCGGGCAUUUUAUUCUUUGGGAGCAAGCAAGAAUCUAUAUAUUCUCUCGCAAUAUUAUCUCCUCCUUCCCCUUGUCUUCCUAAUCCCCUGCAGAUGGCAUGACUAGCUAGGUUCAGAACAGUUGUUGUAACUAUCCGUCCGGUCAUGAAUCAACAAUUACAAUUGUUUUGACUUCUACAUCAGUUCAGCCGCCUAUGGUGUACUGCCGCUGCCAUUUAAAGAUUUAAGUUGUCGGGUGGAUAUAGGCUCCAUUAGAUUGAAAGUAACGAAAUUUUAUUUGCCAACCUGGCUGCACUUUGUGAUGCUUUAUUUAUGUAUAUACUUAAAGUUCAAAUGUGAUGUAUGCUUUACUCCUUAUUUGAUACUUGCAUUUGUCGCAAGCACCUUGCUGUUCUGAGUAAUGGUUGAUAUCUUAUAUUUAGCCGAGAAGCUGAAAACUUAUGAGUUGGAAAACCUUCUAGAUAUACCUAAAAAGACCUUGAAGAUAUCUUCUACUAGACUGGACGAGCUGAUUGACUGGCGAUGGAGAUGCAGCAGUGACCUGCAAUUCUUUCUGCUGUGGAUGGUUCAUUUUGAAAUCUUUUUUAUAUCUGACAAGACACAAGAAAACAACAUAUCUAUCUUGUUAUAUUUACCACUAUCAUCUACAGUGAGUGCUAAGUUGCCCAGAAAUUUUAGUUGACUUCUGUUCAGAGUGAUCUGAAAAAUAGAUAGCAAAAAAGAGUAGUGGGUAUUACAUUUAGAUUAGUUACAUUUGGGCAAAUAAAUGAGUAGAAGUCAAUUUUGUUUGCUUGAUGUUUCACUUCUUUGAUCUCUUCAUCAUUCUCAUUUUGUUUCAUUGCUUACCAUUUGUUCGAAAAAAUUUCUAGCAGUGGCAAGCAUGGUUAAGGCGAGCAACGAGGGUUCCUGUAGUGCAUAACCAUUUCAAGUCGCCCAAGUUCUAAAGAGAGAUCAGAAGUGCCAGCUACUGAAGCAAAAAAAAAGGACCUGAUACACAUUAUAAUCAUGGACUGCUGAUAUACCUGAUGCAUUUCUUCAUGAUGGUCGAUUUUCUUUCGCCAGAUCUUACAUGUUUAAUUAUGUGUGCUCAGAACCAAAAACUGAUUGAGAUCUUCAGUUCUUACUUGCAGAUGUUCUGUUAUUCAGAGUAAUUCAGUUUCCAAUCUCUGUGUAUUAAUCAAAUUAUGGGUUAUUUUCAACCAUAUAGGCUAUUAUUAUAUGUUCAGUUAUGCUUCCAUGGGUUUUGCAUAUGUAUUAACAAAACAACCAGACUGCUAUUUUGUAUAUACUUGGGUGUAAAAUUAAUUUGCUCUUACGAAAGGAAUGAGUAUGCAGCUAGCAGAAUGAGAUGACAAUCAUGACAAGCGAACCAACACAUAAAUAUUAAUCCCACAAUUUUUACAACUGCAUUCCACUUUACUUUGGUAUGGAUAUGCAUUUUUAUCCUUCGAGUACUUUGGAUUUUAACUGGGAAUCAUUGGUUCUUUUCUUCUUAAUAUUUUACUUCUUAUAAUUACAAAUACCAAUUUUAGAGAAUUGAGCUCGUACUUAAAAUUCAUUUGAGUAUGAAGCCACUACCCAUUGUGUGAAAGAAACAAUUAUAACAUUGUACUCUAACAAAUCACACAUAUAAAGAAAUGUUAUUUUCGAGUCUCCUUAACCUACUGAUCUUUUUUUAGAUAUAUGAAACUUGCAUUCAUUUUGUUAAUUCUUCUGCAAUGCAGGUGAUAUUCCUAAUGGUUGCUACUGACGCUGAAAAAAUUACUCCUGAAGCACUAGAAGUGCCCUCUCUAUGGCGCAUCACUCACUGGAUCCAGAUGGGCAACAUUCCGCUUCAAGAUUAAAGAGUACAGUUUUUGGAUGCUAUCAUUGCUUAUCCAAGAGUAAUCUACCAUGUGCCUAAUAUAUAUACAUGAUUGUUGCACCAUCAGAAGAUUUCCAUUAUAUACAUGGGCAUAACUUUCUUUACUGUAAAUUAAUCGACAUGAUGCUUCUGUUUUAAGGAAUGGCAAUGCUAAAUUCUACAGUGGUACUCUCUACUCUGUCGAAUAUUUACAAACACCACAAAGCUAGAGAUCUAUUGUGGAAAACUUUCUUUCUUUUUUUUGUUAUAACUUCUUAGUGCAAAAAUAAAUAUGGCUUGUCCAAUACGAAACAAAUAUGUAAGAUUUAUUAAUUUUCAAAAUUGAAUUGUUCCUGACAAUUACAUAUGAGAGUGCAUAUAAUUGAGAUGUGCUGACUUGCUGUUUCUAAAAUGAUAAGCUGGAGCUGGAGUUACAUAUGAGAGUAGAGAUAAUUAAGUUGUGCUCCUGACUUGAUUAACAAAAGUUGCAGAAGAAAGGGACCAAAUACCAGAAAGCUGAAAAUUCGAAGAAAGGUGGAAGUAGGGAACUACACAACUUGAUUCAAGGUUACGAAGGGACAAAGGGCAUUGAUUGAGCAGGAGAAAACAAUAAUGGGCCGAGGCAAGGAUAUAGUGCUCAAUUAGUAAAGAGACAUGUGGGAAGUGGAGCAGCGGGAUGCAAAUGGAAUUUUUGUGACUCACUGAAGGUGAGCAAAACUUCAGAAAAGAAAUUGCAACCGAAGUAGAGCCUCAUCACCAAGAGAACAUAGGGAUUUUAAGUUUUUUGUAGCCUGCACCAGAGACUGUAGAGUUAAGUUUCU
rnacentral:lncRNA from 1 species